AGUUUUUCAUUUUUAGGUGUUCACAAAAAUGAGUCAAUCAUUUUUGAGGCAAAGUCCGGACUCUUAUAACAAACGAAAAUUAAUUCAUUUCAAAAAUAAUUUUAGGGAAAGUAUCACAGAAAUACGCAUUUAAGCAGAGAGUGUAGAACCUACACAACGUCGUCUUCCAUCUAUAUGGACACGCUCAGAUGAAAAAAAUAACGCAUUUAUAAAAAGAACAUUUUCUUUUUUCAGAAACACCCGUUGAAGAGCAAGAUAAAUAUAUCGCUAAAGGGAAAGAUAUCGAAAGACCGAAGGGCCGAAGGCAUCAGAAGUGGAACACGUGUACGAGUUCAUGAACCUUUGGUCUUUGAAUACGUCAGACGCUAUCAUCUUCUUGCCCCCAGAGCAUUGCUUGUGGGGGCGCUCACGCCCACUAGAACUUCGUUCCUUAGAGAAAUGAACACCCAGCAUACAUGGAAAAUGUUCAACAUCAUGUUGUCAUAUUCAUGUGUAUUGACAAAAUCCGGCUUAUAAAAAAUGAAAAACC
rnacentral:RNase_P_RNA from 1 species